GAAUUCAUCAGUUUUCGGGAAUAAAAAUUGACGAGCACACUUCCUAUACAACAUCUGUAUUGUCCUUAUUAUUCAUGUAUUUUUACUAGGUUGCUCUAGAUUCGAAUCUUUGUCCUUCAGUGUUGAAGAACUAGUUCAGCAAACUCUAUCUUGCUUCCCUUUACCGGCUUCAAUUAGUGUGAUAACUAGAAAAAGCACGUGGUUAAUAAGAAAAGUCAGUACUACAGCGUCUGAAUGUUGUGAGGCCAUUUCUGGUAGCUGCGUUAUGAAAUUUGAAGAAUUAAAAAUGCUCAAAAAAGGAUCAGGGCGGUAAUUUUCAGAAUUAUUUAUUGUUACUUUAAGUUGGUUAGGAAAAAUUA